rnacentral:lncRNA from 1 species
UUUGCUUCCUAUAUUUUGUAAAUUUUUAAAGCUUCCUCCCAGACUCAUUUGAGUAUAAGGUGGUUAAUUUUUCCGAAAUAAAUGGAAAGGAUGGCGCAUUUAAUGCAAUGAUUUGAGCUAAUAUAACAACACAAGAAUAUGCUCAAAAUUGUCAAAAAGAAUAUGAAAAUGUUAAUAAAGUAAAUUUUAGAGUUCUAAGAACUUAUCCAAAUGAUUCUAUGAAGCUUGUUUUCAAGAAAGACUAUGGAUGCCAUCACAAUACUCAGGCUAAUUUGCCUUCAUCAAAGACAAAAA